rnacentral:lncRNA from 1 species
AUAUUGGCCGAAAGGGGCCCUGGGCCUAAUUUGGGAUUUUUUGGAACACGUGCAGGUACGAGUAGUGCGUUUCAGUUCCCCGAGAAAAAUUCAGGGAAAAUUAGGGACAGUCUGUAGGCACACUGUGAAGCUGUGUUCGGACCCCGAAACGUGUAAGAACCCCUCACCCUAUUUCCUAUCACGGUUUUAAAGUUCAAUAAAUGAUAAAACGGUAUUUCAUGAAUCAACGAAUGUGUGAAAUUGCUUAAGGUCGCUAAUGGAGCCCGAGUCUAGUGUGUUUGUCGGUUAACUGUUAUUUGGCCUGUUUUACAGUUUUAAAUGCAGCAUGAGGUUCGAUGUUUUCAUUUUAUAGUUUCGUGUGCAUAUUUUACUAUUUUAUUGAUUAUGGAUUGAAUGACCGGGAUAUUGAUGCUGUAUGUUGUAUGUUUGGCAUAAAUUAUCGUUU